GAUGAACGCUGGCGGUAUGCUUAACACAUGCAAGUCGAACGGACUCUUCGGAGUUAGUGGCGGACGGGUGAGUAACGCGUGAGAAUCUGGCUUUGGGUUCGGGACAACCACUGGAAACGGUGGCUAAUACCGGAUGUGCCGAGAGGUAAAAGAGAAAUUGCCUGAAGAUGAGCUCGCGUCUGAUUAGCUAGUUGGUGAGGUAAAGGCUCACCAAGGCAGCGAUCAGUAGCUGGUCUGAGAGGAUGACCAGCCACACUGGGACUGAGACACGGCCCAGACUCCUACGGGAGGCAGCAGUGGGGAAUUUUCCGCAAUGGGCGAAAGCCUGACGGAGCAAUACCGCGUGAGGGAAGAAGGCUCUUGGGUUGUAAACCUCUUUUCUUAGGGAAGAACAAGAUGACGGUACCUAAGGAAUCAGCAUCGGCUAACUCCGU
rnacentral:rRNA from 1 species